rnacentral:rRNA from 1 species
AUCGAACGCUAGCGGGAUGCUUUACACAUGCAAGUCGAACGAGUGGCGGACGGGUGUGUAAUAUAUCGGAACGUGCCAAGUAGCGGGGGAUAACUACGCGAAAGAGUGCCUAAUACCGCAAACUCUUGGAGCGGCCGAUACCGGAUUCGCUAGUUGGUGGGGUAUAGGCUCACCAAGGCAACGAGCCGUAGCGGGUUUGAGAGGGGGACCGGCCACAUUGGGACUGAGACACGGCCCAGACUCCUACGGGAGGCAGCAGUAGGGAAUUUUGGACAAUGGGGGAAACCCUGAUCCAGCCAUCCCGCGUGUAUGAGAAGGCCUUCGGAUUGUAAAGUACUUUUGGCAGAGAAGCGGUAUCUGCAGAAUAAGCACCGGCUAACUACGUGCCAGCAGCCGCGGUAAUUC